ensembl:lncRNA
GGCAGAUCGGGCCAAAAUCCUUUCCACGCCCACCCCCGUGACAUCACGCUCCAAAGCCCCUCGUGAUACGUCAUCAGUCGGAGACCAAGGCUGUGUCCCAUUGACUGUAGAAAACAUGGACGACGCGACCCCGCCUCCUCCCAUUGUGCAAAAAUGAAGCCAAAAUAUCCCGCUUGUGGAGGCUGCCAUUUUGCAAAUUUGGAGCCAGAGUCUGCGCAGUAGUGACUUGAGGUGGAGCGACUGUGUAACGCUCCCGCCCACACACCCGCUGGCCGUGACCGCAAACACGCCCCCCUACACUUUUUACAUAGCCCGGCUGCUCCACUUCUUUUGCUGGUUUACCGCUACUGACGACUCGUUUAAUUAAGCUACAUUCACCCUGGAGAGAAACUAGUGAGGGAAACCAUCAGGACUAAGCUGGGUUUCCUGGGUCCAGAGGUUUGGAGAAACUUCUUCCCUUUCUUUCAUCACAGCUGUCCUGUGCCAGAAGUUCUGUUGACCCACUCAAAAAGGCAUCAUUUAAGAAACACCAGGAACACUGAAGCUCAUCGCAUUGAUGAAGCAGGACUCAUGAUCUUCACCAGCAGCUCCCUCACAGGGAAAUCUUCAGCACUCCUCUGUAGGCCCGCCCCAGGAGAUGGAUAAACCCAGCAUUUCAUGAACACUGUGAUGGAGACCUUUGGUUUGUGUAAUGUUAUAAAUACUCGGAUACUCCCCAGAGGCUCCAGACUUUUACAUAAAGAUAUUAUAUUCAGUCCUGUAAGUUAUAUAUUUAAAAAUAUAUGAUCCUCUCUGGUUACUCUGGUAUGAAUAACUCUGCAUCACUUUAUGGUAAAUAACACAUUAUCUGCAAAAAACUGUGAAAGAAUUCCAGAUGACAAGUUUGUAGUUCAACAUACAAGUGACGACCUUUGACCUUCAUCAGGUUUUAUUUAAUUGUGUCAGAGAAAAUCUCAUAUGCUCUUCAUGCAGCUGAGUACAUCAAGUGUUUAAAACGGAAGCUGUGCAGGUCUGAGAUACAAACUGAGGUCCUGUUAAUG